UUAUCAGGGCUGGGCGAUUAAUCGAAAUCGAACCGCAAUCGCGAUGUGCAACGUUGCGAUUAGCAAAUCGCGAAAGGAUGCGAUAUGAUGCGAUUUGAGAAAUAUGCAGAGAGGCUUUGUGACAGUCUAACCAAUUGAGCGAGCGCAAGUAUGUUUGUGCUUUCUCCGUGAGAGGCACGUCAACCAAAACAGCGCUUCUCCUACACUGACGAGGAGUUUCAAUUUAAAGCAUGCGCGCAACCUGUGUCUCUCAAUGCUUGUUAAAUACUCGUGCCCGUUUCCCUAUUGCAAGACUUUGCGCGUGCGUCUUCCACAACAGACAAGGUGUUUAAACUUGACGCACACGCGCAGCCUGUGUCUCUAUGCUUAUUAAAUACUCACGCCUGUCUCCGCAAGUCCGCAUCGCAAGACUUCACGCCCGCGUCUCUCAAAACGGAUGAUGCGUUUUACACACACACACGCCCAACAAUGCUUACAAGCCUGGCUCCUUAUUUAAAACAAACUAAAAUACCAUUUUACUGGGUUGCUAAUGUCACUUGAAUGAAAUGACAUGACAUUGAACGCAUUUGGAUUUUAUAUUCAUUUUAAAAAUCCCAAAUGUAGCUUUUUUAUAUUUUGAUAGUUAUGAAGUUGAGUAUUACAGU